UUUUAGUGCUUGCACUAAAUGAAACUAGAUACAAGCGAGCGGCGGACGGGUGAGUAACACGUGGGUAACCUGCCCAAGAGACUGGGAUAACACCUGGAAACAGAUGCUAUUACCGGAUAACAACACUAGACGCAUGUCUAGAGUUUGAAAGAUGGUUCUGCUAUCACUCUUGGAUGGACCUGCGGUGCAUUAGCUAGUUGGUAAGGUAAUGGCUUACCAAGGCGAUGAUGCAUAGCCGAGUUGAGAGACUGAUCGGCCACAUUGGGACUGAGACACGGCCCAAACUCCUACGGGAGGCAGCAGUAGGGAAUCUUCCACAAUGGACGAAAGUCUGAUGGAGCAACGCCGCGUGAGUGAAGAAGGGUUUCGGCUCGUAAAGCUCUGUUGGUAGUGAAGAAAGAUAGAGGUAGUAACUGGCCUUUAUUUGACGGUAAUUACUUAGAAAGUCACGGCUAACUACGUGCCAGCAGCCGCGGUAAUACGUAGGUGGCAAGCGUUGUCCGGAUUUAUUGGGCGUAAAGCGAGUGCAGGCGGUUCAAUAAGUCUGAUGUGAAAGCCUUCGGCUCAACCGGAGAAUUGCAUCAGAAACUGUUGAACUUGAGUGCAGAAGAGGAGAGUGGAACUCCAUGUGUAGCGGUGGAAUGCGUAGAUAUAUGGAAGAACACCAGUGGCGAAGGCGGCUCUCUGGUCUGCAACUGACGCU
rnacentral:rRNA from 1 species